rnacentral:rRNA from 1 species
UACGUAGGGUGCAAGCGUUGUCCGGAAUUAUUGGGCGUAAAGAGCUCGUAGGCGGUCUGUUGCGUCUGCUGUGAAAACCCGGGGCUUAACCCCUGGCUUGCAGUGGAUACGGACAGACUAGAGGUAGGUAGGGGAGAAUGGAAUUCCCGGUGUAGCGGUGAAAUGCGCAGAUAUCGGGAGGAACACCGGUGGCGAAGGCGGUUCUCUGGGCCGAUACUGACGCUGAGGAGCGAAAGCGUGGGGAGCGAACAGG